rnacentral:rRNA from 1 species
AUUGAACGCUGGCGGAAUGCUUUACACAUGCAAGUCGAGCGGCAGCGCGGUCUUCGGACUGGCGGCGAGCGGCGAACGGGUGAGUAAUACAUCGGAACAUGCCCAGUCGUGGGGGAUAACACUUCGAAAGAAGUGCUAAUACCGCAUACGUCCUGAGGGAGAAAGCGGGGGAUCGCAAGACCUCGCGCGAUUGGAGUGGCCGAUGUCAGAUUAGCUAGUUGGUGGGGUAAAGGCCUACCAAGGCAACGAUCUGUAGCUGGUCUGAGAGGAUGAUCAGCCACACUGGGACUGAGACACAGCCCAGACUCCUACGGGAGGCAGCAGUGGGGAAUUUUGGACAAUGGGGGCAACCCUGAUCCAGCCAUUCCGCGUGAGUGAAGAA